rnacentral:rRNA from 1 species
CGUUCCCGGGCCUUGUACACACCGCCCGUCACACCAUGGGAGUUGGUUCGACCUUAAGCCGGUGGGCGAACCCGUAAGGGGCGCAGCCGACCACGGUCGGGUCAGCGACUGGGGUG